AGUUCCAAUAUGCUGAUUCCUGUCAGUGAACUGUAAUCUACAGCAUCCUGAAAGAGCAUGAGCAAGCUCUGUGUGGACAAAGGAGCCAAACAAUCAGGCACAGAAGUGAGGGAAAAAUCUAUUGAGACCUGGAGUGACCCUGACUCUGGGGAGCUCCAGUCGACACAAGUGCACCCCCUUCAAUUUCUGUGGUCAGCAUGCAGGAAGCCAGGGAGCACAAAUAGGUAAUUGCAGCUGAAGUACUUGAUGGUUAUUUGAAAUAUGAUCUUCUUUGCAGAUAUUCUAAGGGGGGGGGGGGGGGGUAGAGACUAAGCAAUGUGAAAACUAAUUGAAACCCUUUCUUGGCACUGCCUUAUUUGCAGGCUAGUUGCAGCGUGUUUCUUCCAGUAAAUUGUCUGUGAUGCAGGCACAGAGAAACACUGGGCUUGUCAUUAGUGCAGUCCUUGUCCCAGCCUUCUGUCCAGCCUCAUGCUGACAGUAGUUACUUUAAUGUAGUGCUCAGGAGCAGUGGUCAGAACCCCUUAUGAUAGGGGUUGAACAAACCCUCCAGGCUUUGGGUAAAUCUUCAGGAGUAACUCCUGUAGCAUAACAAGCUUAUGUCUCAUUAUAAAAAGCAAUCCAGGCACUUGGCUGCUGUUCUCCCAUUGAAUUAAUUUCCUUUCCCUUUUUGGCAGGUAACAGAAGUCUUUCCUAUUUGGACAGUCUGACUGCUGCCUUCUUCAAUUCACUGGCUUUGCAGAGGUUUUUCUUAAAGGUAUGAAGGGUAUGUCAUGUUUCUAUGGGCAGGAUCAGGUAUUGGGGGAUGGCUGGUUGUUCUGCAGCAAAUGUUAAUGUGUUUUCUGUUGUUCAUACUACUUGGAUUCCCCAACUGGUACAAGUGCCUUUGAUGUCAGUUGACCUACAUAAGCGGAGAGCAAUUGAGGGAAUUCAUAAUAUGUUUGAAUAUGAUGUUUAUACCUUCAAGACUCUGAAUAUGGGUGUUCUUUUUCUUCCUAUUGUCAGUCUUUUUUCUUUUGAAAUCACUUCAACAGUCCCUGAAGCUUGUGUAAGUUCAGAGAGGCUGCUGUCUGUUUUAAACGGAGGUGAAUGUGUGAUUCUGAGAUUAAAUAAUUGAUGAUGAAGUUGGAUAUUAGAGACAACGUUUCUGAAGCUGUUGAAAGUGCUGCAAUUAACGUGGCUGUAAUGAUAAUAGUCCACUUGAUAUCAAAGCUUUUGCAAACUGUUCAUAUGAAGAUCUGGUUAGCAGAAAUUAGUGGUGGCAUAGGAGCUACUUCAGAUCUUAAAAAGUAUUGAGUUACUAAAAGGAGAACAGGUUUCUAAGGAUAUGGGAACAGUAGUCAUUGGAACAGGCUGCAGUAGAGGACUGAAAGGUAAAUGGACUUUCAGUUAAGCUCUAAACUC